CCCACCAGGAAAAAUGUGAGACGUGAGACAUCUGUGAGGCACUGUUAGGUAUGCUGCAGCUCGAAAAGCAAGCAGCAUUGAUGUGCUUCUUCUUUUAUUUCGUUUUAUUUUUCUCUGUGAUUGUUGACAGUUAUGCAACCGAAGCAGUUUGCAUAAAAAUCCAAAACAAUCGACGCGAAAAAAUGGGUAUCGGGAAAAAUCAUUAAUUUUAAUCGUCGUUCGUCGUCGCGGGAGUGAUUAUGUGAUUAACCGAUAUCGAGAUGUUCUGGCUAGUGAUUUGGCAUUCGGUUGUGCGGGUCCGGUCCGGGUUGCGAUGAUCCGGGAAGCGGAUCAAGUGUAAUGAUGUGGGUGAAAUGGAUGGUGGAAAAUAUUUGAAAUUGAAAUGGUGUAGUUGGGAAAUUAAAUCAAGUGCAAGAUCAAGAAAGGGACCUGGCCACUGCCAAAGUGUAAUAGCCGGUGCCUCCCAAGUACACUCCACUCCCGUUGUGUUCGAAAAAGUGGGGCGCGCUCUUCCAUCGAUACUGAAUCUGACUCCAAUCCGCAGACGCGGAUGUACAACUCGGAGUUCCGCACUAAUCGUCCAGCUGGUUGGAAAUCGCUAAAAAGAUCGCCCACGCCCUCCAGUGGGAGAAAUUGGCAGUUCCGACGGGUGGGUCGAUAGUUGGAGCUGGCGGUGGCGCAGGAAAUCUACCCGGUGUUGGUACGGUUGGUGACAACGGAAAAGUAUUGGGAAAAGUGAUGUGUGAUGUGAUAAUGAUGUUACCUACAAGGUAAAUAUUUGUUAAUAGCUGGUUUCUCAAUCCGGAACAUAUUUUGCUGAAAACAAGGGUUGAUCCUUUUGCUAUGUAUGGCCAAGAAUCAGGCAUUGGAAAAAGUCAACCGGGAAGCAAUACGUGUCACGAUGGCUUUUGCUAUUGAGGAGGACCGGAUGGCACUUGCGUGGGACUGUAAGCGGAUGUUGCAUCAUCACGGCCAUUGGAGAAGAAGCACUGAUUCAUCGCAAAACCAAAGAAGUAAAUAACAAUCCAACAAGUAAAAAGAAAUCUGGAAAUAUCAGUGAACAAAUGAACGACCCGAAGAAGAUUGGGAAGUAAACCUUUGACAUCAGAUCCUCAAGGUCACUGUGGCUGUGGAAUGGAACAAAAAUUCCAUCCAUCCAUCCUUAAUCGUGUCUUACGUCUUCAUGCCAAUCAUCAACUGUCUUCUUGGAUGAUACAAGAGAUAAACAGUUUUCGGGAUUUGAACAGGAUUAUUAAUUACACAAAAUCAGUCAAAAACAAUUAUGAAAAAAUAAUACUAGCAGAACAAUGAUUGUAUUAUUUGAAAAUCAUUA